GACCCUGAGGUGUUUCUAAUAGGCACUUCUCCAUACAUAGUUCUAGUUAGGAAUCACUGCUGGAUUCCACGGAAUUCCAGAAAAUAGGGGAAGAUAUUUGGCAGAGAGUUAAGGAUUUCUCAAGACUCCUUACCUCACACCAUCUCUGUGGUUUCAUUGAGUCUCUGGGGAGAGUUGGAAGACCUGGGAAAGCACUCACUGAAGGGCACAAGCUAGUUUUGUCCGUGAGGCCAGGCCUCAUUUGCUUUCCUUUCAUCCAGAUCUUUUCCCCUUGCCUCCAAUUCAACCUGGAUGGAGUUUUAAGUCUUUAAAGAACACCCAUUAAAGAUGAUGAAGUAGUCUGGCUUCAAGAUCCAUUCAACCCCUCCAGCUCAAAGAUAAAAUAACAGAGGCAUCCGCAGUGUCUAAUUUUGUCUUUGGAGCUAAUGAAAUAUCCUGUGGGAGACACUGUGUGCAGGAUGUUGUUUUGCCGCAAGUAAUGGACAGUCACUAAGGAUGAAUGAUUUUAGGUCCCUAGGCCAGUGUUAAUAUGCUUGUCUUAAGGUAAACACAUCUGGUGUUCAAAAAUGCUCUCUCUCAUCUAAAUCAAACAGCUACUUUAACUUGGAAAUCCUCCAACCAAAUGUCUUUUUGUGUAAUUCCACAGAUCUCCAGGAUGUAACCAGAGAUAUGAGAAAUCCUUUUCCUUCUUCAACUUAUGUUUAGAACUUCCCGUUGUUG
rnacentral:lncRNA from 1 species